UACGUAGGGUGCAAGCGUUAAUCGGAAUUACUGGGCGUAAAGCGUGCGCAGGCGGUUUUGUAAGUUUGUCGUGAAAGCCCCGGGCUCAACCUGGGAAUUGCGUUGGAGACUGCAAGGCUAGAAUCUGGCAGAGGGGGGUAGAAUUCCACGUGUAGCAGUGAAAUGCGUAGAGAUGUGGAGGAACACCGAUGGCGAAGGCGGCCCCCUGGGUCAAGAUUGACGCUCAUGCACGAAAGCGUGGGGAGCAAACAGG
rnacentral:rRNA from 1 species